rnacentral:tRNA from 1 species
AAAAAGUUAGUUAAAAUAUAACAUAAAUAUGUCAUAUUUAAAUUAUUAGAAACUUCUGAUACUUUUUG